AUGAAUAAUAUAUUUCGUUUUUUAUUUUUACUUUUUAGCAGCCUGGGGGACUUGUGCCUGUCCUCCAGUACUUAUUUCUGAUCAGACAUACUUUGGUGGUAUCCAGAGUCCAGAUUGAUAGACUGAAGUUUCUUCUUCAGACACAGGAGUUUCUAUAACAACAAGAGAAUUCAGACAGUAACAUCAAAAGGUAUAGCACUGAAGGAAUAUGCAAGAAGCCUUCUGGACGAAGAGGUGAUUUCUUCCAUAACAAGAGUGAUUCCAUGGACAAUAUUCACCUGUCUUCUGGUGCUAAAAGAAAAGGCCUCUACUGGACCUAAGAAUGGCUAACAAAAGGCUGAAUGUCAGAGUCUUUGGGAUCGAGUCAAUCAGAUCCAUAUCUCAAGCAACUUGGAAGGAUAAUUUCCUUAUCUCUAUAUAGCUCAAUGGUGCUUACCAGCACAUUCCAAUAGCCCUAGAUCUUCAGCAUUAUCUCAGAAGAGAACUUCCCAUUUAGUGCCCUACCGUUUGGCCUCACUGUAGCCCCAAGAACCUUAUAUAUGCUUAUAGUGAUAUUGAGAGUCCAGAACACCACCUGGUUCCAUUAUCUGGAUGAUCUACUUCUGGUAGCCUCAGACCCACAGAAUGCAGGUACACAGAGGAAUAUAGUUCUAUCAGAACUCCUGAAGUUUGGCUGCUUGAUGAAUAUCAACAAAAGCAGUGUCACACCAGCUCAGAGGUUGACAUUUCUGGGUGGGACAUUCUAUGUUCUGCUUUUUCCCUAUCUCAGAAACAGUUCCACAGAUUGUGGAAGUUUCUCUUCCAGUUUCUUCAUUUUUGCUUGGUAACCGCAAGAAAGUAUAUACAGCUACUAGGAAUCCUGGCUUCCACCAUCAGACUUGUCAGAUGGGCUCAGGAUUCCUCAAAGAUCCUUCCUAUCUUGAUUCAACAAGAGAGAGAUAAAUUGGAGCCAGCCACUGACGAUGUCACAAUCACUUGAGUUACACCUUACCUGGUAGCUGAAAAGAGAGAAUAUGUCUCUGGUUUUCCAGUGAACAGAACCUCA